GACGAACGCUGGCGGCGUGCUUAACACAUGCAAGUCGAACGGAAAGGCCCUGCUUUUGUGGGGUGCUCGAGUGGCGAACGGGUGAGUAACACGUGAGUAACCUGCCCUUGACUUUGGGAUAACUUCAGGAAACUUGGGCUAAUACCGGAUAGGAGCUCCUGCUGCAUGGUGGGGGUUGGAAAGUUUCGGCGGUUGGGGAUGGACUCGCGGCUUAUCAGCUUGUUGGUGGGGUAGUGGCUUACCAAGGCUUUGACGGGUAGCCGGCCUGAGAGGGUGACCGGCCACAUUGGGACUGAGAUACGGCCCAGACUCCUACGGGAGGCAGCAGUGGGGAAUAUUGCACAAUGGGCGGAAGCCUAAUGCAGCAACGCCGCGUGCGGGAUGACGGCCUUCGGGUUGUAAACCGCUUUCGCCUGUGACGAAGCGUGAGUGACGGUAAUGGGUAAAGAAGCACCGGCUAACUACGUG
rnacentral:rRNA from 1 species